rnacentral:lncRNA from 1 species
AAUCAAUACCUAUAGAUAUACAAUUAAAAAUGUUUGAUUCUAUGAUUGAACCAAUUUUAUUGUACGGUUCAGAAGUGUGGGGUUUUGAAAACCUAAAAAUUAUUGAACAAAUCCACUUGAAAUUCUGUAAGAGAAUUUUGAAAGUUCGAAAUUCAACUGCAUCAUUUAUGGUUUAUGGAGAACUUGGGAGGUUUCCACUCGAAAUUCGGGUCAAAUUGAGGAUGAUUUCUUUUUGGAGUAAAUUAGUAUUAAAUGAAAAUAAACUUAGCAGCAC